UACGUAGGGGGCAAGCGUUGUCCGGAAUCAUUGGGCGUAAAGAGCGUGUAGGCGGUCCUGUAAGUCCGCUGUGAAAGUCAAGGGCUCAACCCUUGAAUGCCGGUGGAUACUGCAGGACUAGAGUCCGGAAGAGGCGAGUGGAAUUCCUGGUGUAGCGGUGAAAUGCGCAGAUAUCAAGAGGAACACCAGUGGCGAAGGCGAGUCCCUGGACGAUACCUGACACUGAGGCACGAAAGCUAGGGGAGCAAACAGG
rnacentral:rRNA from 1 species